rnacentral:rRNA from 1 species
ACUAACGCUGGCGGUGUGCAUUAGGACAUGCAAGUCGCACGAGAAAGGGGGGGCAACUCCCUGAGUAAAGUGGCGCACGGGUGAGUAAUGCAUGGGCAAAUCUGCCUUCGAGAGGGGGGAUAAUAACACCUGGAAAACGGGUGCUAAUUACCGCGUAUGCUCACGGACCCUGCAUGGGGGAUGUGAGGAAAGGCGCCCUCUAUUUAUAAGGUGCCGCUCGAAGAUGAGCCCAUGUCCGAAUUAGCUAGUUGGCGGUGGCGGGGGGUAACGGGCCCACCAAGGCGAAGAUCGGUAGCCGGCUUGAGAGAGUGGGUCGGCCACAACUGGGACUGAGGACAAGGGCCCAGACUCCUACGGGAGGCAGCAGUUUGGAAUUUUUCCGCAAUGGGCGAAAGCCCUGACGGAGCGACACCGCGUGGGGGAUGAAGGCCUUCGGGUUGUAAACCCCUGUCAGGAGGGAAGAAACGUGCUAGGCGAACAGCCGAAGCACUUGACGGUAACCGUCCAGAGGAAGCCACGGCUAACUCUGUUGCCAGCAGCCGCGGUAAAUACAAGAUGGUGGCAAGCGUUGUCCGGGAAUUACUGGGUGUAAAGGGGGCUGGUAGGGCGGUGAUGCAGGUCCCCGCGUGAAAUGCUGAGGCUCAACCUCAGCGCUGCGCUGGAAACUGCGUUACUCGAGUGUGGGAGAGGAAGGCGGAAUUUCCAGUGUAGCGGUGAAAUUGCGUAGAUACUGGAAGGAACACCAGCGGCGAAAGCGGCCUUCUGGACCAACACUGACGCUGAGCAGCGAAAGCUAGGGGAGCAAAACGGGGAAUUAGAUACCCCGGUAGUCCUAGCCAUAAACGAUGGGCAACUAGGCGUGGGAGGCAUCGACCCCUUCCGUGCCGCAGCUAAACGCGAUAAGUGCCCCCACCUGGGGACUACGGGCCGCAAGGUUUGAAACUCAAAGGAAUUGACGGGGGGCCCGCACAAGCGGUGGAGCAUGUGGUUCAAUUCGAUGCAACGCGAAGAACCUUACCAGGGCUUGACAUGCUUUCGGACAGGCGUGGAAAACACGCCCUCCCUUCGGGGGCCGGAGCACAAGGUGCUGCAUGGCUGUCGUCAGCCUCGUGUUCGUGAGAUGUUGGGUUAAGUCCCGCAACGAGCGCAACCCUCGCCCCUAGUUACCAUCGGUUUCGGCCGGGAAACUCUAGGGGGACUUGCCGGUGACAAGCCGGAGGAAGGUGGGAGGAUGACGUCAAGUCCUCAUGGCCUUUAUGCCCUGGGCCAACCAACCACGUGCUACAUAUGGGGCGAUACAAAAGGGUUGCGAAACCAUGCGAGGGGGAGCUAAUUCCCAUAAAGUUCGCCCCCCAGUUUCAGAUUGGAGGCUGCAAUUCGCCUCCAUUGAAGCUGGAAAUCGCUAGUAAUCGCGGAUCAGCACGCCGCGGUGAAUACGUUCCCGGGCCUUGUACACACCCGCCCGUCACAUCAUGGAAGUUGCUUGUAGCCGAAGCCGGCGCACUAAACCCGCAAGGGGAGGUAACCGCCUACGCUAUGAGCAGUAACUGGGAUG